rnacentral:rRNA from 1 species
GUGAGAAUCUGCCCUCAGGAGGGGGAUAACGGCUGGAAACGGCCGCUAAUACCCCAUAUGCCGAGAGGUGAAAUGAAUUUCGCCUGAGGAUGAGCUCGCGUCUGAUUAGCUAGUUGGUGUGGUAAAGGCUCACCAAGGCAUCGAUCAGUAGCUGGUCUGAGAGGAUGAUCAGCCACACUGGGACUGAGACACGGCCCAGACUCCUACGGGAGGCAGCAGUGGGGAAUUUUCCGCAAUGGGCGCAAGCCUGACGGAGCAACGCCGCGUGAGGGAUGAAGGCCUCUGGGCUGUAAACCUCUUUUAUCAAGGAAGAAGAUCUGACGGUACUUGAUGAAUAAGCCACGGCUAAUUCCGUGCCAGCAGCCGCGGUAAUACGGGAGUGGCAAGCGUUAUCCGGAAUUAUUGGGCGUAAAGCGUCCGCAGGCGGUUUUACAAGUCUGUCGUUAAAACGUGGAGCUCAACUCCAUUUCGGCGAUGGAAACUGUAAGACUAGAGUGU